rnacentral:tRNA from 1 species
AUAGUGGUAUACAAAUCGGUCGAAGUAGCUAGACUUUCAAUCUAGAGUAGGAAACUACCUUGCGGGUUCGAAUCCCGUCCACUAUA